AGUGUGGGCGUGUGUGUCCCUGAUUCUUGUGCUGAAGAGGAUGUGACUCUGAUGUCUCGGCUGGAUACUUUAAGAUUCAGAAAUACUUCAUUUUUGGCCCCUUCCCUCUUUCUUUUUACAAUAAAUUCUUCCUCCUUGUCUGGUGGGAGUGUGACCAGAUGUGCUGCUGGAAAGAUCCCCCUGGACACAUUUGCUGCCGUAUGUCUGUUCAUCACCUUGCUGGGUCUCAUCCUCCCUCCGGCUGGAACAGUCUGCGUGGCAGCUAGGGAAUGGGGGUCAGCCUGCAGGACAUCGCGGGAACACGGGGAACCUCUGGCCACUUACGGGAGUCUGCCACUGAGCGAGGCGGAGAGCAAUGAACAAAGAAGCAGAAUCCCACGGACACACUGCCGGGCACAUCUCCUCCUGUCAGCAGCCUCCAGCAGAGGAAAAAGGUUUCUAGGAGCCGUGGCUCAUGCUCUGGAGUGCUUUUCUUGGCAGAAGAAUGUGCCAGCCAUCUGGACUACAAAGGCACCAGGUGGCACCUGCUCUGCACUGAAUGGCAUUCGUGUCUUGAGUCUUCUUUGGAUCAUCUCGGGACACACCAGUCAGAUGACUGCAUGGCUGUCUUUGGAUAAUGUGCUUGAAUGGAACAGCAGAGUGCUUAGAAACCCACUGUGUGUUUACUCUUGGAGUGGUCCCUUCUAUCUUGGAGUUGAUACAUUUUUCCUGAUCAGUGGUUGGUUAAGUGCAAGUUCGUUUUUAAAGAUGCAUCAGAAUUCAGACAAAGGAAUAACCCCCAAAGGCAUACUCAGAUACUUUCUCAGUCACCUGGUAAGGUUGCAGCCUCUUCACCUGUAUUCAAUGUGCUUGUUGGUUGGACUGUUCUCUCUUGUUCCCUGGGGACCUGUCUGGGAAAUGCCCAAAUUCCACUGGGAUAACUGCCGGCAAGCAUGGUGGACGAAUCUGCUGUUGCUAAAUAACUUUGUGUCGGUCAAGAAUGCGUGCAAUGGCUGGACCUGGUACCUUGCCAAUGACUUCCAGUUCCACCUCACCACACCAGUGAUUAUCUUCAUCCAUGUAAAGAGUACACAGAUCCUCAUCCUCCUUGGGGCCAUGCUGUUCUUGGCAUCUUUCACAGCCACUGCUCUGAUCACCUUGGCAUAUAAACUUCCUGUCGUGGCUCCAUCAGAAACCAGUGAAGAGGCGAUUGUAUUGUAUUUCGUGGAGUACUACACAAAGCCCUACUGCCGAUUUGGGCCAGUUCUUGUGGGCCUCUUUCUGAGCAUUUACAUGCACCAAAACCACCAGGAAAACAUUCUCAGAACCAAG
ensembl:lncRNA novel transcript